AAUGCACCAAUUUGUAAGUCGCUCUGGAAAAGAGCGUCUGCUAAAUGACUUAAA
rfam:Salmo salar isolate Sally breed double haploid chromosome ssa11, whole genome shotgun sequence.